rnacentral:rRNA from 1 species
GACGAACGCUGGCGGCGUGCCUAAUACAUGCAAGUCGAACGCACUCUCGUUUAGAUUGAAGGAGCUUGCUCCUGAUUGAUAAACAUUUGAGUGAGUGGCGGACGGGUGAGUAACACGUGGGUAACCUGCCCUAAAGUGGGGGAUAACAUUUGGAAACAGAUGCUAAUACCGCAUAAAACCUAACACCGCAUGGUGUAGGGUUGAAAGAUGGUUUCGGCUAUCACUUUAGGAUGGACCCGCGGUGCAUUAGUUAGUUGGUGAGGUAAAGGCUCACCAAGACCGUGAUGCAUAGCCGACCUGAGAGGGUAAUCGGCCACACUGGGACUGAGACACGGCCCAGACUCCUACGGGAGGCAGCAGUAGGGAAUCUUCCACAAUGGACGAAAGUCUGAUGGAGCAACGCCGCGUGAGUGAAGAAGGUUUUCGGAUCGUAAAACUCUAGUUGUUGGAGUAAGAAUGUAUCUGAUAGUAACUGAUCAGGUAGUGACGGUAUCCAA